ensembl:lncRNA
AUGACCAUCCCGAGUAGCACCACAGCCAUCCCAGGGACCACCACAAUCACCCCAGGGACCACCUCCUUCACUCCAGUGACCACCCCAACCAUCCCAGGGACCACCACGACCACUCCAGGGACCACCACAACCAUCUCAAGGACCACCACAACCCCAGCAACCUCCACAACCACCUCAGGGACCUCUACGACCACCCCAGGGACCACCACAACCAACUCUGGGACCACCACCACAAUCCCAGGGACUACCACGGCCACUCCAUGGACCACCAUGACCACUCCAGCAAUCUCCACAACCUCCUCUGGGACCACCACGACCACCCCAGGGACCACCACAACCAACUCUGGGACCACCACCACAGUCCCAGGUACCACCACGACCACUCCAGUGACCACCACAACCAACUCAGGGACCACCUCCUCCACUCCAUUAACCACCACGACCACUCCAGGGACCUCCACUCCCAUCUCAGGGACCACCACGACCACGCCAGAGACCACCACGACCAUCUCAGGUACCACUAUGGCAAACUCUGGGACCACCACCACAGUCCCAGGCACCACCACAACCACUCCUGUGACCACCACGACCACCCCAGGGACCACCACCACAAUCCCAGGGACUACCACGGCCACUCCAUGGACCACCAUGACCACUCCAGCAACCUCCACAUCCUCCUCUGGGACCACCACAACCCCAGCAACCUCCACAACCACAUCUGGGACCACCAUGACCAUCCCGAGUAGCACCACAACCAUCCCAGGGACCACCUCCUCCACUCCAUGGACCACCACGACCAACUCUGGGACCACCACCAGAGUCCCAGGUACCACCACAACCAUCUCAGGUACCACUAUGACAAAUUCUGGGACCACCUCAACAAUCCCAGGAACCACCACAACUACCCCGGGAACCGCCACGACCAUCCCAGGGACCACCACGACCAUCCCAGGGACCACUAUGACCACUCCCAUGACCACCACAAUCCCAGCGACCUCCACAACCACAUCUGGGACCACCACGACCAUCCCAGGGACCUCCACAAUCACCCCAGGGACCUCCACAAUCACCCCAGGGACCACCACGACCAACUCUGGGACCACCACCACAGUCCCAGAAACCACCACGACCACCCCAGGAACCACCACAACCCCAGCGAUCUCCACAACCACAUCUGGGACCACCACGACCAUCCCAUGGAUCUCCACUACUAUCUCAGGGACCACCACGACCAACUCUGGGACCACCACCACAGUCCCAGGUACCACUACAACUACCCCGGGAACCACCACGACCACUCCAGGGACCACCACCACCAUCCCAGGGACAACCACGACCAACUCUGGGACCACUAUGACCAACUCUGGGACCACCACAACCAUCCCAGGGACCACCACCUCUACCCCAGGCACCUCCACGACCACCCCAGGGUCCACCUCCUCUACCCCAGGUACAACCACGACCAACUCUGGGACCACCACCAAAGUCCCAGGAACCACCACAACUACCCCGGGAACCGCCACGACCAUCCCAGGGACCACCACGACCACCCCAGGGACCUCCACUACUAUCUCAUGGACCACCACGACCAACUCUGGGACCACCACCACAGUCCCAGGAAGCACCACAACUACUCCGGGAACCACCACAACCACCCCAGGGACCACCACAACCAUCUCAGGGACCACCAUGACCACUCCCGUGACCACCACAACCCCAACAAUCUCCACAACCACAUCUGGGACCACCACAACCAUCCCGAGUAGCACCACAACCACCCCAGAGACCACCAUGACCACCCCAUGGACCUCCACUACUAUCUCAGGGACCACCACGACCAUUCCAGGGACCACGUCCUCCACCCCAGAGACCACCACAACCACCUCAGGGACCUCCAUAACCACCCCAGGGACCACCACAGCCUUCCCAGGGACCACCACGACCAACUCUGGGACCACCACCACAGUCCCAGGAACUACCACAACCACUCCAUGGACCACCAUGACCACUCCAGCAAUCACCACAACCUCCUCUGGGACCACCACAACCACCUCAGGGACCACCACAACCACCCCAGGGACCACCUCCUCCACUCCAUUAACCACCACAACCAUCCCAGGGACCACCACGACAACCCCAGGGACCACCACAACCACAUCUGGGACCACCACGACCAUCCCGAGUAGCACCACAACCACCUCAGGGACCACUUCCUCCACUCCAUGGACCACCACGACCACUCCAGGGACCACCACAACUAUCUCAGGGACCACCACGACCACCCCAGGGACCACCACGACCACAUCUGGGACCACCACAACCACCUCAGGGACCUCCACAACCACCCUGGGUACCACCACAACCACCCCAGGGACCUCCACAACCACAUCCGGGACCACCACGACCAUCCCAAGUAGCACCACAACCACCACAGCGACCACCACGACCAUCCCAGGGACCACCACAACCAUCCCAGGGACCACCACGACCAUCCCAGGGACCACCACGACCAUCUCAGGGACCACCACGACCACCCUGGGAACCACCACUACUAUCUCAGGGACCUCCACAACCACCUCUGGGACCACCACGACCAUCUCAGGGACAACCACAGCCACCCCAGGGACAACCACAACUAUCUCAGGGACCACCACAACCACCUCUGGGACCACCACCACAAUCCCAGCGACCUCCACAACCACCUCUGGGACCACCACAACCAUCCCGAGUAGCACCACAACCACCUCAGGGACCUCCACGAUCACCUCAGGGACCUCCACUACUAUCUCAGGGACCACCACGACCAACUCUGGGACCACUAUGACCAACUCUGGGACCACCACAACAAUCCCAGGGACCACCACAACUAUCUCAGGGACCACCACAACCACCUCCGGGACCACCUCCUCCAUCUCUGGGACCACCACGACCACCUCAGUGACCUCCACCACCGCCCCGAGGACCUCCACAGCAAUGUCCACCACCUCAGGGACCACCACAACCACCUCAGGGACCUCCACGACCACCCCAGGGACCACCCCAACCACCCUUUGGACCACCGCUGGUCCUCCUCCAGGUGAGUCCUCCCCAGAUGUCCUCCACGCUCACCGGGGGUGUCCCCGUGCCCCGCUGAUGUCCCCAUGUCCCCGUGUCCCCACCAGGGCUGUGUGA